rnacentral:tRNA from 1 species
AAAAGGUUAGUUAAACAAUAACAUAAAUUUGUCAAAUUUAAAUUACUACUUAAUAUUAGUACUUUUUA